CUAACACAUGCAAGUCGUGCGGGGUGGCUCUGCCACCCAGCGGCAAACGGGUGAGUAACACGUGAGUAACCUGCCCUCAGGAAGGGGAUAACCCGGGGAAACUCGGGCUAAUACCCUAUAAUGUCUGGAGUCACUGAGGCUCCAGACCAAAGGUGGCCUCUGCUCUGCAUGCUACCGCCUGAGGAGGGGCUCGCGGCCCAUCAGGUAGUUGGUGGGGUAACGGCCUACCAAGCCUAUGACGGGUAGCCGGCCUGAGAGGGUGUCCGGCCACAGUGGGACUGAGACACGGCCCACACCCCUACGGGGGGCAGCAGUGGGGAAUCGUGGGCAAUGGGCGAAAGCCUGACCCCGCGACGCCGCGUGGAGGAAGAAGCCCUUCGGGGUGUAAACUCCUGUCAGGGGGGAAGAUGCUCACAGGGGUGAAUAAUCUCUGUGGGUGACGGUACCCCCAGAGGAAGGGACGGCUAACUACGUGCCAGCAGCCGCGGUAAUACGUAGGUCCCGAGCGUUGCGCGAAUUCACUGGGCGUAAAGCGUCCGCAGCCGGAUGGGUAAGCGGUUCGUCAAAGCCCACCGCUCAACGGUGGAAAGGCGUACCGAACUGCUCAUCUUGAGGCACGCUCAGGCAGGCGGAAUUCCCGGUGUAGCGGUGAAAUGCGUAGAUAUCGGGAGGAACACCGAAGGCGAAGGCAGCCUGCUGGGGCUGUUCUGACGGUCAGGGACGAAAGCUGGGGGAGCAAACCGGAUUAGAUACCCGGGUAGUCCCAGCCGUAAACCAUGGGCGCUAGACGUCGUCCGCAAGGGCGGUGUCUCAGCUAACGCGUUAAGCGCCCCGCCUGGGGAGUACGGGCGCAAGCCUGAAACUCAAAGGAAUUGGCGGGGGCCCGCACAACCGGUGGAGCGUCUGGUUCAAUUCGAUGCUAACCGAAAAACCUUACCCGGGUUUGACAUGA
rnacentral:rRNA from 1 species